AACUACGCCUGCAUGAAGUCGGAAUUGCUAGUAAUCGCAGAUCAGCAUGCUGCGGUGAAUACGUUCCCGGGCCUUGUACACACCGCCCGUCACACCAUGGGAGUCGGUAACACCCGAAGCCUGUAGUCUAACCGCAAGGAGGACGCAGUCGAAGGUGGGAUUGAUGACUGGGGUGAAGUCGUAACAAGGUAGC
rnacentral:rRNA from 1 species